GGGAAUGGAUGAGUUCCGGUGGGCUUCCCGGUCUUCAAAACCGGUGUCGGGUCGCGUUGCGGGCCGAGGUGGGUUCGACUCCCAUCCGUUCCCG
rnacentral:tRNA from 1 species